rnacentral:lncRNA from 1 species
UUGCUUCCCAAUCAACCAACAAAGUUUAUCUUGAUUACUGGCAAUGAGUAUAUUUCAUGUGCAAAUCUGACUUGGUUUGUCCAUUUUAUGGUGCAUUUUCAUCUUGGGUUUGUUUCCUGCCUAUUCAGGACAAGAACAACCGAAGGAAAAUAAAAGGCCCUUUUUGGAGUUCUUAGGGAUGUACAUCUCAUGCAUCUAUAACAAACAUGAAGCUACUUUGUGCAAGAGUAAAAUCAACCAAUUUGGCUUGCAAUGAGGAGCUGCAUAAUAUGUGUAAAAUUCAGUUUGUUGACAUCUUACCUUGCAUAAAUAAUCAGAGUUGGUUAGAGUUAAUUGAAAGUUUAUGCUGCUAUGCCAUUUAUACCUAUUUAUUUGUGAAACUCUG